rnacentral:rRNA from 1 species
CCUACGGGUGGCAGCAGUGAGGAAUAUUGGUCAAUGGUCGGUAGCCUGAACCAGCCAAGUCGCGUGAGGGAUGAAUGCCCAGUGUAUCGUAAACCUCUUUUGUCAGGGAACAAAGUCGGGUACGUGUCCCCGUAUGAGUGUACCUGAAGAAUAAGCAUCGGCUAACUCCGUGCCAGCAGCCGCGGUAAUACGGAGGAUGCGAGCGUUGUCCGGAUUUAUGGGGGUUAAAGGGUGCGAGGGCGGUUUGUUAAGUCAUCGGUAAAAGGCGGGGGCAAAACCCCAGACCGCCGUUGAAACUGGCAGCCUUGAGUUGGAGAGAAGUAUGCGGAAUGCGCGGUGUAGCGGUGAAAUGCAUAGAUAUCGCGAAGAACUCCGAUUGCGAAGGCAGCAUGCCGGCUCCACACUGACGCUGAGGCACGAAAGCGUGGGUAUCGAACAGGAUUAGAUACCCGAGUAGUC